UACGGGGGGAGCAAGCGUUGUUCGGAUUUACUGGGCGUAAAGGGCGCGUAGGCGGCCACCGCAAGUCGACUGUGAAAUCUCCGGGCUUAACCCGGAAAGGUCAGCCGAUACUGCGGGGCUAGAGUGCAGAAGGGGCAACUGGAAUUCUCGGUGUAGCGGUGAAAUGCGUAGAUAUCGGGAGGAACACCAGUGGCGAAGGCGACUACCUGGCCUGUUCUUGACGCUGAGGCGCGAAAGCUGGGGGAGCAAACGGG
rnacentral:rRNA from 1 species